GACGAACGCUGGCGGCGUGCUUAACACAUGCAAGUCGAACGGUGAAGCUCCAGCUUGCUGGAGUGGAUCAGUGGCGAACGGGUGAGUAACACGUGAGCAACCUGCCCCAGACUCUGGAAUAAGCGCUGGAAACGGCGUCUAAUACUGGAUACGAGAUCAAGCCGCAUGGUUAUGGUCUGGAAAGUUUUUCGGUUUGGGAUGGGCUCGCGGCCUAUCAGCUUGUUGGUGAGGUAAUGGCUCACCAGGGCGACGACGGGUAGCCGGCCUGAGAGGGCGACCGGCCACACUGGGACUGAGACACGGCCCAGACUCCUACGGGAGGCAGCAGUGGGGAAUAUUGCACAAUGGGCGAAAGCCUGAUGCAGCGACGCCGCGUGAGGGAUGACGGCCUUCGGGUUGUAAACCUCUUUCAGCAGGGAAGAAGCGAAAGUGACGGUACCUGCAGAAGAAGCACCGGCUAACUACGUG
rnacentral:rRNA from 1 species